rnacentral:lncRNA from 1 species
UUUAGAGGUUUAGGGUUUAGGGUUUUAGAGUUUAGAGUUUAGAUUAAUUAGUGUGUUUUAAUUUAUAUAUUAAAUAAUGUUUAGGGGUUAGGGGUUAGGAUUUAGAUUAAUUAGUGUUUCUUAAUUUAUAUGUUAAAUAAGGUUUAUGAGUUAGUGGUUAGGGGUUUAGGGUUUAGGGUUAAGAGUUAGCGAUUUAGGGUUUAGAGAUUCAGGGUCGG